CCUGGAAGUUACAUUGCGAUCUGGAGAAGAUUACAGACAAGUUGACCAGAAACACAUCAAUCCAAUAAUUAUUUUCUACGAACAGCGAUAUAGUCUACUUCACUAUCGAGAACAUGGCAUUCUUCAGUGCUAUUGCAGGUUUAUCCUUUUACGUUCUUGCAUUAAUCUUUGUUUUAUGCUGUGUCGCAUUUACCGGUUACUGUUUGUAUAUUAAGUACAUACACUGGAAGUACGAUCAUAUACCUGGGCCGCCACGAACGAGUUUUCUAUUUGGACACACAUCCCAUUUCCUGAAGGUGAUGCGGGAGGAUCGAGUUGUACACGAUUUGUUCCUCCAAUGGGCUGAAGAAUAUGGACCUGUGUACCGGAUAAAUGGCCUGCAUGCUGUUUUCCUUUGCGUAUCUUGCCCAGAAGCCACAAAAGAUAUCCUGAUGUCUUCUAAGUACCCCAAAGAUGAUAUGGUCUACAAACGUCUAUUUAGCUUGUUUGGACAAAGGUUCCUAGGAAACGGCCUAGUCACGGCCCAGAGUCAUGAACAGUGGUACAAGCAACGUCGUAUCAUGGACCCUGCUUUCAGCAGCUUGUACCUGAGGGGCCUCAUGGGUCAGUUCAACGAGAGGGCAGAGCGACUGAUGGACACACUUGGAGAGCUGGCAGACAGCAAGACAGAUGCCAACAUGCACCAACUGGUCAACUGUGUCACUUUGGAUGUCAUCGCUAAGGUGGCAUUUGGAGUGGAUCUGGACUUGCUGAAGCAGAAGGACUCCCCUUUCCCUCACGCCAUACUGUUGUGUCUGAAAGGGAUGGUGUAUUAUUUGAGGGAUCACACCUUCCAGUACAUGCCGAAGAACCAGAAGUUCGUCCGUGAAGUGAAGGAGGCUUCUCUGCUGCUGAGGAACACAGGUGCUGAGUGGAUUAACGAGAGGAAGGAGGCGAUCCAGAGAGGAGAAGAUGUUCCUAAAGACAUCCUUACUCAGAUCAUCAAAACAGCCAACAAAGAGGAACUCAUGGAUAAAGAGGAUGAGGAACAGAUGUUGGACAACUUUGUGACGUUUUUCAUCGCAGGACAAGAAACAACAGCAAAUCAACUUGCUUUUGCCAUUAUGGAACUGGCACGACUACCAGAUAUAUUAGCAAAGGUGACGAGAGAGGUGGAUGAGGUUGUUGGGAUGAAGCAGGAGAUCAGCUACGAUGAUCUGGGGAAAAUGGGUUACCUUUCACAGGUGUUGAAGGAGACCCUGAGGUUGUACCCCACGGCUCCAGGUACGUCUCGCUGGCUGGCGGACGACACGGUCAUCAGCGGUGUUCGGAUACCAGGAGGAGUCUCCUGCUUUCCAAUCGGAUCCCCUUGUGGCUGAUAUGAACAUGUCUUGUUGCAGUUCAGUUCCUAUGUCACUGGAAGACUGGAUAAAUUCUUUAAGGACCCGCUGACUUUUGACCCAGAUAGGUUUCACCCUGAUGCUGCCAAGCCCUACUACUGCUACUACCCUUUUGCCCUAGGACCACGAUCUUGCCUGGGACAAAACUUUGCACAGAUGGAAGCCAAGGUUGUGAUGGCCAAACUGCUCCAGAGGUUUGACUUCAGCCUGCUGCCCGGCCAGUCCUUCGACAUCGCCGACACAGGCACACUGAGGCCUAAGAGUGGAGUGAUUUGCACCAUCAAACACAGACAAACAAACUCCUCCUGAAGUCUACCUUAUGCAAAGUCUUUCUGAAUAACACCUUUCAUAAACUUUAAUUGUACUGGAUCUGUGCUGGAUGCAUACGUUGAAAAUUCCAACGUUAAAAUCAAAUCAAACACAUGUUUAUUUGUGUAGCACUUUGAAGUCAAAGAGGGCUUCACAGAAGCCCAUCCUUUGUUAUAUUGACAUCUAAAGCCCCAAGUAAAACAACCUUGGGUCAGCAAUAUCUUGUCAGAUAACUGCUUCGAUUCAUGGCUCAUCAAGAACAGCGCUUAAUUUUCGUAAUACGCGGGUCUAAAUUAGAGGAAACGUCUAAACCAAUAAUAAUCAAUUGAAAUGUUUAAUGUCAUACGCACGCCCCACGUUUGUGCUGCGUCAUAUCCGUAUUUUCUGUCCUGUAGUCCAUUAUAGCAGAACGCUUUUUUAGCACUAUUCAUUCAGAACCCAAACCAAAUUUCUGUGGCCAUUGAAUUAAUCAGUAUAUUUUCAAGGGCAUCUGGUGAAUACCUGAAUUUGCUAAAUGUGAGCUUAUGGCCUUCAAAGAUUGUUCUGAAAUGUCUUAGUAUGGUAUUCCUCUUAAAAAUUUGGUUCAAUAUUUGGGAAUGAUUACUAGGGAUCAACAUAAAAGAUGUUUACUUAACUUCAAUCCUAUUGUUGAAAAAACUAAAAAGAAAUUUAAUCAGUGGCUUACAGUAGAGGCAGAGUUGUAAUUACAAAGGCCAGAGUAUAUCUCGACUGACUUAUUUAGUUAGGGCUUUGCAUCUAAAUAAAACCUUAUGUAAAGAGAAUGAUAAAAUACUGUUUGACUUUAUAUGGAAAAACAGUACAGUACAUUAAAAGUACAUUACAUUAAGAAAUCACUUAUCACAAAUUCUUAUGAAAAUGGUGGACUAAAUGUUUUGGAUUUUGAAACAUUAAAUAACUAAUAACUAAUUGGCUUUGUAAGAUUAUCAGAAAUCCAAUUUCCAUUCGGAACCUUAUCCCCUCCCAUAUUUGUUCAAACCUUGGUAGUAUACCAUUUUUUCUCAGUUGUAAUUAUAGUAUUAGAAAAAUACCGGUUAAACUGUCUGAAUGUCAUUGCUAAGCCUGUUUGUCGUGGUCUAUGAUUUACACACAUAACCUUUCACCUCAUAAGUAUUAUAUAUGGAACAAUAAGGACAUCAUAUAUGAAUGCAAAUCUUUUUUUUGGAAACAUUGGUUUGAUAAUGGCAUCGUAUUGGUAGAUAAGUCAUUUAAUGAUGAUGGUGUACUUUACACUUGUGAAGAGUUUCUGGCACAUUAUAAGAUUCUUGUAACACCAGGGAACUAUGCUAGAGUUUUUGAUGCAGUAUCUUCGAAAGUGUGUACGUUGUUUAGACAUUCAACACUGGUUCCCACACCUGAUUCAAAUGAAUGGGUCGUUAUCCAGCUCUGCAGAAGCCUGCUUAUGACCAUUCAUUUGAAUCAGGUGUGUUGGAGCAGGGAAACAUCUAAAACAUGCAGGACAGGGGGUCAGGAGGACCAGGGUUGGGAACCACUGUAUGUAUGAUUGUUGUUAUAGCCUUGUAAUAUGUUUAUUUAAAGAUAUGUAAUAAUCGUUUUGUUAAUAAAAAAUAAAGGAGCAAGGCAAGCCAUUGUUCUGCGUAAGACCGGACGAGCCGGAACUGGAAAGAUGGCGUGGUCCGUUUCGCGCUCUCACUUGCCUCACUGCGCCACUGUUCUUUGAA